rnacentral:rRNA from 11 species
AUACCAAGGCGCUUGAGAGAACUCUGCUGAAGGAACUAGGCAAAAUGGUACCGUAACUUCGGGAGAAGGUACGCUGCCGACGGUGAUAGGAUUUACUCCUUGAGCUAUUGGCAGCCACAGAAACCAGGCCCCUGCAACUGUUUAUUAAAAACAUAGCACUCUGCAAACACGAAAGUGGACGUAUAGGGUGUGAUGCCUGCCCGGUGCUGGAAGGUUAAUUGAUGGGGUUAGCGUAAGCGAAGCUCUUGAUCGAAGCCCCAGUAAACGGCGGCCGUAACUAUAACGGUCCUAAGGUAGCGA